rnacentral:rRNA from 3 species
AGUCUAAACGACUCUCGGCAACGGAUAUCUCGGCUCUCGCAUCGAUGAAGAACGUAGCGAAAUGCGAUACUUGGUGUGAAUUGCAGAAUCCCGUGAACCAUCGAGUCUUUGAACGCAAGUUGCGCCCGAAGCCUCGGCUGAGGGCACGUCUGCCUGGG